rnacentral:tRNA from 1 species
UCCAGGGUAGCCUAGUGGACAUGGCAUCUGGCCGGUAAGCUGAACAACGUGGGUUCGUUUUCCAUCCCUGGAC